CUAUUAGGAAGACAUAUUCACUAUUCUUUAAACUUUAAAUAUUUGUUGUAUAUACAUGCAACAACUAGUGAAGAGGUGUUAAUAUUGCGUAUAAGAUGAAGUUUGAAGCAGAAAUUUGAAACAGCAAUAACAAACUAGAUGAUGGUCAGCACUGCAUACCGAAAAGUCAAGAAACGUAUUGAAAGACCGAAUUAAAAUACAUAUAUACUGUACUUUCAUAAGUUAUUUUCACACAACCUGAACGAAUUUGAUAGUCGUGAUCCUUGUUAUUUCACCACCUGAACAAAUAACCUCGUGAUCUUUGCUGUUUACCACCAUUUUUAUCAGAGAAAUAAAGUACAAAGUUUAACGAGUGAUCAUAGUCUAUAAUAACUCCUCAAAACGUCAGUUGGAAACAGUUUGAAAAUAUAUAAUCAUGUUACCUUCCGAUGGAUUUUAUUGCAACCACAGAACUACGAUUUUCGAAGAGCCUAUAUAGUUAAAAUUGCGAAUAUGUGUACAUUAUUUUCUCAAAGCCAUGUCAUCAGUUGUUUUCAUAUCUCUGGGGAUCAACUGAAAUCCCAGCACCAUUCUGUAUAAAGUACAAAUGCGAAAUGUCUAACUGUACUGUAUAUAUUUCGGGGUAUAGACGUCUUGAGAAAGUAAAUGAAUGAAAAAUCGCUCGAUUCUCAAUGCAUGGUACUAUUAACGUUUCUGUAUACAGUAAUGCUCGAAUAUGGAAAUGCUCCUCCGAUAGAACGAUUUUGCUACUCAAGAAUUGCGUGUAUUGUCUACGCUGCGUCAGAAAGAUAGCGUGAUUGCGAAAGUUCUGGAUUAUACCAAUGCUGUUGGAUAAAAUUAUUAAAACAAUUAAACUCGUACUGAAAAACUAUGAGUUCAUCUAUACAAACUAUGUAUGCCUUGAACAAGAAAGUCAGAUUAUGCGACGGCGUACCGCACUAUUAUUUUUGAAACAUGUGUGUGCAUACAGAUUACAGGGAAUAUAUUACAAAACGUGUUCAUUGAAUUAUUAUCAUUUACAGAGAAUAGACUAUAAUGGAAAUAAAAACACGCGAAGACAUUCACUUCUAUAAUUGUUUACUUUCUAUCCAAAAGUAAACAUGACAAGUAGAACAGAUAGACAAAACAAGUCGACUAGCAACUGCCUUCGUGUUCGUUUCCUCGUUCCAAAGACUUCGCCAUGUAAAUUUGUGUUGUGUGAAUGACAAUAAAUGGAUUAAUAUGAAAAUACUGUUGUGAUUACUUCAACUAAAGAAUUGUACACUUAUAGAUAAAGUGAAACCACGUAUACUGUGUUGACAUUCAUAUUACUAAUCAACAAAAUUAAUCUACGAGAAAUGUGGUAUGUUAUCAGUAUCAGAACCCUCGGAAUAAAGCAGUGUAAGCACAUUCAUUGGUUUCAGUUGCAGUUAUAUGCACAUCAUAUAAAGAAAAUGGACUUCAUCUUAAUAUCAUUUUAUUAGCGUCGAGCAUGUUGUCAAACAAGUCGAUUGGCUGGGCAGUGGAGUUUAAUAAUGCCGUUCCCAUAUUAUCUUCACCAUCAUAGACAUCUGUCGAUCACAUUAUAUUACGGAAGGUUGAAUUG
rnacentral:lncRNA from 1 species